GGAACCCGGAUCGAGGCCGCGCGCGCCGCGGUCGCGGGGCUGGCGGAGGGGAAGCUGGGUACCCUCUUCUGUGCCUGCGGUUCUCUGACCCACCCACCUGCAGACGCAGGGUGGGGCGCUCACAGUGGGCACGCUGCUCUGGGGCCGGUGGGCGGAUGGUUGGAAGGCGAGGCCGAGGAGCUGGGAGCGCGGUCCACGCGGGGCGUCUCGAGGCGCCCUCGGGCUGAUGUCCUUGGCUCGCCUCCUCGCCCUCGGUCGCCCGGGCUGCGCUCUGCAUCCUAAUCUGGCUCCUUCAGAGCCCCCCUCAGAAACCAAGGGGAGGAAUUCCGCAGUUCACUUCCCACACAACCCAAAUCCUUCAUCUGUCGCCUCGGGAACACCGCAUCCUACACCCCCUGCCGCCAGCUCCUUCGCACGCCAGCCCCGAUUCUUCCCCAGCGGGUUCUGGGCCCUGACGAGGGAACCCCCCUCGCGGGGGGGAGGGAGAAGAGUUGAUUUUAUUAUUAAUAGCUGACGCAGCGCUUGAUAGGUGUCUGCAGGGCAGUCACAGUUCACGCCGCUGGAGCUGCCACACAGCAGCUAGACUUGGGCUAGGAGGUGCUUCGCUGUGGCUUUCAGAUGAAGGCCAUUUCAUAGACUCACUUCCCUCGACAGGAGAAAAGGGGACUUGAAUCCAAAGCUGCUCUUAAACCACAGAUGAUUUGCUCUGCUCGGGAGGACAAAGCGCAGGUCACAGCAAGAUAAAGGGAAUUUUGCCAAUAUAAAGAAGCUACAUUACUUAACAAGGGGAUGGGAAAUUGCAUGGAAUUCAUGAACAAAACAUGAACAUAUUCUCUUCACAAAGAAGAGCAGCUUUCUUCACGGAGUAGGUUGCAGAAUGAAGCAAUUAGUCCACUUUUGUGUUUAACAAUAACGCACCAUCCGCAUGAGCAAAAGCAGAGCAGAAAAAUCACCUCAGUUGUCUCAAGUGGCUGGGCUUCAGGACUUAAGAUAAAUUCCUUCAGCAGAUGCAAAUUACAGUGCAUCACCAGCUGAAAAAAUCAGGCACGUCAUGUCAUUUAAUUAUUUCCAAGGAGUGGACGUUGGCAUGUAGUUUUGAUUGAUACUUGGAAAAGAACCAACAAAACCCUACACGAAACAAACAAACAAAAAAUUAUACUAUAUGGCAACGCACUGAGAGAAGCCAGGUGGAAACUGGUUAGGUCACAGGAUCAGAGCCGCUUCAAGAGGGGCACGUGAGUGCACGGUGGGAGUGUGGUCAUGGAGGGCUGGCUGUUGUUGCCCUCUGAGACCAGCUCUGCACCAUUUCGUACCAAUUCUUCUCCCUUACCUCCUCUGUCUCUUUCAGGACCGAUAGAAGCACUGCAGGCAGGAGAAGGAUGGUUUACCUUUCUCAGCCUGGAAAUUAGCUUAGGCAUUUGAUGUUGAAUAUUCUGUGCCACUGUCACUGCUUGGGGUUGUAAGCACCUCUGGUGCAAUUAUGAGCUUCUGGAGGAGUUCCUGACCUCAGCCUUUGUAUGGAAUGCUCUUCCCACAGAUCUUCUUCACUUGUGUCGUUCUCUUUCCAUUCAGAUCGCAGCUUACAUGUCCCCUCCUCAGAGAUGUCUUUGCUGUCUAAAGUGGCUACCCAGCCACAGUGGCUCACGUCUGUAAUCCCAGCAUUUUGGGAGGCUGAGGCAGGAGGAUCCCUUGAGCCCAGGAGUUUGAGACCAGCCUGGGCAAUAUAGCGAGACUCCAUCUCUACUAAAAAAAAAAAAGAAAAAAAUUAGCUGGGCGUGGUGGCCUGAACCUUUAGUCCCAGCUACUCAGGAGGCUAAAGAGAGAGGAUCGCUUGAACCCAGGAGGUCAAGACUGCAGUGAUCUGUGAUCACGCCACUGCACUCCAGCCUGAGCAACAACAGAGUGAGACCUUGUCUCAAAAAAAAAAUUAAAUAAUAAAUAAAUUAAAAAGUGGCUACUCUCGGCAAUUCACCUUCCAUCACAUUUUUCAGUUUUCUUUUCUUCUUUUUUUU
rnacentral:lncRNA from 1 species